GACGAACGCUGGCGGCGUGCCUAAUACAUGCAAGUAGAACGCUGAAGGAGGAGCUUGCUUCUCUGGAUGAGUUGCGAACGGGUGAGUAACGCGUAGGUAACCUGCCUGGUAGCGGGGGAUAACUAUUGGAUACGAUAGCUAAUACCGCAUAAGAGUAGAUGUUGCAUGACAUUUGCUUAAAAGGUGCAAUUGCAUCCCUACCAGAUGGACCUGCGUUGUAUUAGCUAGUUGGUGGGGUAACGGCUCACCAAGGCGACGAUACAUAGCCGACCUGAGAGGGUGAUCGGCCACACUGGGACUGAGACACGGCCCAGACUCCUACGGGAGGCAGCAGUAGGGAAUCUUCGGCAAUGGACGGAAGUCUGACCGAGCAACGCCGCGUGAGUGAAGAAGGGUUUCGGAUCGUAAAGCUCUGUUGUAAGAGAAGAACGAGUGUGAGAGUGGAAAGUUCACACUGUGACGGUAUCUUACCAGAAAGGGACGGCUAACUACGUG
rnacentral:rRNA from 1 species